rnacentral:rRNA from 1 species
UACGGGGGGGGCAAGCGUUGUUCGGAAUUACUGGGCGUAAAGGGCUCGUAGGUGGCCAACUAAGUCAGACGUGAAAUCCCUCAGCUUAACUGGGGAACUGCGUCUGAUACUGGAUGGCUUGAGUUUGGGAGAGGGAUGCGGAAUUCCAGGUGUAGCGGUGAAAUGCGUAGAUAUCUGGAGGAACACCAGCGGCGAAGGCGCUGCUCUGGGCCGGUACUGACGCUGAGGAGCGAAAGCGUGGGGAGCGAACAGG